AGAAAAUGAAGCCGCAGCUAGCAAGCUAAAUGGACGACGAGGAGGAUAACGAUGGUAAGAGUAAUAAAUACGCCUGAGUCACUUAAUAAUGUCUUGUGUCCAACCUAGUAGAAUGAUUAUUACAUUUCAAACGAAACUUGAACUUUGAGAGUGUUUAAACAUGAAAGAAAAUGUUAAUGCCCGUCAAAAUGUUAAUGCUAUGAAGUGUAUUUUCAGGGAUUUUACUGUCGUAAACAUACAUAUGAUAAUUGUAAACAAAUGAAGUUGGCUACUUCACUGAUUUCACCUAUUGCAGGCUGUUAUGAGAACCUAUCCCCUGUGAUAAACAAGGGGAUACUUUGAAUGGGGACACAUUUUACUCCACAUAUUCGCUAAAAAUGUCUUGAGUAUUUUCAAGUCAUCAGAUUAAAGUCGGAGUCAGGUCCUGACUUGAGUCUGACUCGAGGCCAAGUCGCAUGACUUGAGUCCACACCUCUGCUGUAUACCAUCUAUUUAUAUUCAUGCAGCAUUGCUUUCCAAUAUGACUGACAACAAGUGUCAACAAGAUGAUUACAUACUGGUUAACAUUUGAAAAUCAAAGUCAAGUAUAAUCCAUAUAUAGUAGUGCAUAGUGCGGAUAUAUAAAGUGUAAUAAUGAGCACAUUAAAUAGAAGUUAUAGAAAUGAAAUGCAGUCUUUGUUUAUAAAGAUAAAGGGUCAUUCCAUUCAUGUUCCUUCAGAGUCUCCACUUGGUGUGGAUUUCUGUAUUUGCUUUCUUGAUUUUUGUUUCCCAGCAGGCGUUUAGAAUAAGGGGACAUCCAGUCUCUUUCAAAGGCAGCUUUGACUUGUUCCAUGAGUUUCCCUCCCUGGUUUUUCAUCUGGACCACCAGCCCAACUCCGCCAUUAUCAGAAAAAUCAUUUCCAACCCAGUCGUGGUUCCCUGUGGAGGCAAAACAUGAAUUUUGCUGCUUCACUUUCUUACAUUUUUUCAAAAUAAUAUUAAUUAAUACAUCAUGCUGUUUAGUGGCUGAUAUCAUGAUGGUUUAAUUUAUUUCAAACAUGCAUACAUUUCAUGUUACAAUUUAGAAUUCCACAUUUCCGAAUAUGGACAUUAGUUAAAAAAAAUAGGCAUUAUUUUAUUAUGUAAUAAUCAUGCAAAAUACAUUGCCUACCAACGUAAAGAGCGUUGUCGGUCACCAUGUACUUGUUGUGAUUAAGUCCAUGUUGAAUGUCGUCCAUCUGCUGCUUGUGACUGAAAAAUCUCUGGAAUCAUAUAUAUACUGUAUACAGUCCAAGACCAGUUGAAAAAUGUACAUUUUGCACUGUUGUAUUUGUUUCAAAAGGCAAAAUGAAAAAAAGUUGUAAGUAACAAAUAUUAGUGAAAUAGGCCGUUCAUCAGCUGAUUAAAAGUUCAAGACUACAGCCUCUAAAUGCCACAAAAAUGUGAAUUCCAUGUCAUUUUCUAAAUUAAUGUUGUUACUGGUGCAGAGUGCAAUACAACAACCAUCAUGCGGCAUCUGAAAAAUAAGUGUUUUAAGAACCAAAAGCAUUUACAAAGGCUUUGUCUCCAAAAUUGAAUUUUGCACAAGAGCACCAAAACAUGGGACAUUGAAAGGUGGAAGAAAGUUUUACUCUCUGAUGUGGAAAAAAUGUAACCUUGACGGUCCUGAUGGCUUCCAAUGUAACUGAUAUGACAAGGAGAUCCCAAUUGAGAUGUUUUCUGCACACGCCACAGUGGAAGGGCCACCAUCAUGAUCCUUCAGUGGAAAAAUUUUAACUUUUUUCAACAGGAUAAGGCUUCAGUUCGCAAUGCCUGCCUGCCUGCCUGAGAAAUGACUUCUUCUGAAGGAAUAACCUCAUUUUUUUCCCCAUCCUGCAUGUUCCCCUGGCGUUAAUCCAAUUGAGAACAUUUGCUGAUGGAUGGCAAGGAAAAAUUACACAAAUGGACAUCAGUUCCAGACAGUGGAUGCCCGCCUUGAAGCCACCUUCACCAACUGGAACAACAUUCCCAGCUACUUUUUUUACAUUUAAUUUUUGUUUUAUUUACAUAUUUGUAUGUUUUUUCUAGUGAUAGUAUUGAACAUUUGAUAAGCAAAUGAACAGCCUAUUUCAGUUUAAUGGUUGUUUGCAAUUGCUUACUCAAAAUUUUUUUGUCUCACUCCUAUUUCUUAUUUUUGCAUUUUUAAGCUCUACUGAGAAUCUCCUAUAAGUGUAAGUCAAUAAAUUCAGUAUCCUGUCCAUUCACAGACGUACAUAGAGAGGAGUUCACGUACGUACCACAUCCAGCGAACAGUUGUACAGGUGGAUGCACAGUGACCUGAGAGAGGUGGCAAAGUUAAAGGUGAGCUGGUGAGUGUUCUUCCAGAAGCUUAUCAGCAGGCGAACUUUGACCCCUCUCAGAACCACAGCCUCUCUAAUCAUCUCAUCAAGGUGGGACCAGUACCUAUUGAUAGAGACAUUUUAAUUAGAUGAAUCCUUCACUGGCAGGAUAAAGAAAAGUUCAUCUGCUGUGCUUAUUUUGCACAAGCAGCAACCCAAAGCCAGUCCCAAGGUGUUCAAAUAUGCAAGUACUGACAUAAAUGAGCAUGUCACAUGAAGCAUAGUUUUAAAAAAAUUCAAAGCUCAGUACCUGGUGACCAAGUUUCCUCUGAAGCGCCUGCUCACCAGAGGGAGGUAGUCCGUCACGGAAAUGAAGACAAAUGUCUUGGCAGUCUGCAUGACAUGAUAUAUGGCAUCCACAUCUCUAGUGCGAUCUUUUGCACAGAAGAGAUCAGGGGAGGACUGCAGAGAGCAAACAUCAGUCAGAACAUCUCACCGGCAGUCAGUGUGGCAGUUCUCCUCCGUGAUUCCAUCCUCGCUAUCCCCCCAAAUGUCAACGGAAGAGAAGAUCAGCACCAAUAGCACAGCGAAGCAGCACAGCAGGGCAAAGAUGGCGAUGCACUUUUGCUGUGUCUUGACAGAUCAUCGGAGUCCUCCUCUGGAGCCAGACCAGUUGGCUGGGCCUGAACCCAUCAGCCUCAAGAGGAGGGAGGUGGGACCAAAGGGGUCGAAGAUGAGUGGCAGUCAAAAGUGGUGACCUUGGCGAAGCUGGUUGAAAAACAUCAGUAGUCCAGGUGUACGGAAACUCACCUCGUCUCUGUUCCACGUCUGUCGGCGAAUGGAGCGAGACCCCUGCGACGUACAAGAUCUCGGUCUCAGUUCAACCGACGUCCCGUUACUUUCCAGGAUGCUGUUAUGAUCUGUGGAGGGACCCCCUUUGUCCAAGCUGUCAUCACAGCCGUGCUCCUUCAACUUGGACACAAUAAUACAGAUUCAGGUUAUUCCAAUGAUUUGACGGGGGGAUCUGCCCCAUUUGCAUUUAUAUUACAUACAGAGCAUCUGAAUCUGAAUCAACUUUUUGCUGUACUUGAAAAUAUUAUGACAAUACCAAGACUCCAGAAUCAGUGGCUGCUGGGCUCACUGUGUCAAUUUCACCAGCUACGUCGUGAAUCUCUCGUGCAAGCAUG